rnacentral:tRNA from 1 species
GGGGAUUUAGCUCAGCGGUAGAGUGCGUGCCUAGCGAGCGCAAGGCCCUGGGUUCGGUCCCCAGCUCCG